AAAUAAGAAUGAAUGAAUAAAGACCAAUUUCUUCUGUGUCACCAGGGGAACCUGUAUCCAUAUCCCCUAGGAGGUACCUAACCCAAGCUCCUGGGAGAGUUGUUCCUCUGGAACCAGCACUGCACACACAAAACAACUGAACUUGCCCACGUGUAAAUGGAUACAUGAUUUUCUAUCCGAAGGAGGAUGAGCCAUGAUUGGCUGUCCGUGCUCGGAUUCUUCAUUCGGAAGAAGAACAUCUGCCUCUAUCAUGUGAGCCGGAC